CACCGCCCACCGCCCGCCGCCCGCCGCCCGCCUCGCGACUCCCAGCGUGCCCCGCGCCAGGGGCCGUCUUCCGGCGGAAGUUGUCGCUCCGCCGCCGCGGCCUCUGACCCGCUCGUGAGGGAUCCGAGAGUCCGAAAUCCAUGUGCAGAAAUUUUCAGAUACAUCUUUGUGCCUCUUCCUAAUCCUGCCUAGUAAAAUGGGGGAUAUAUCAGUGCAAGUUUGAGGAGAUCUACAGUUGGAAAAUGGACAUCACCAAACUGGACUCCAGAAAGUUCUGUCUAGGAUUUUAUUAGACUGCUUUUUUCUCAAUAUACCUGUGUUGGAAGAUUGAGACAAAAAGGCACAAACUCACGUUAAAUAAACAAGAUAAUCUAAUCAA